rnacentral:tRNA from 1 species
GGAGCAGUCGCCUAGUCCGGCCGAGGGCGCGUGAUUGGAAAUCACGUAUACCGCAAGGUAUCGGAGGUUCGAAUCCUCUCUGCUCCGCCA